rnacentral:rRNA from 3 species
GGGUGGUAAUGCCGGAUGCUCCAGUUGAUCGCAUGGUCUUCUGGGAAAGCUUUCGCGGUAUGGGAUGGGGUCGCGUCCUAUCAGCUUGACGGCGGGGUAACGGCCCACCGUGGCUUCGACGGGUAGCCGGCCUGAGAGGGCGACCGGCCACAUUGGGACUGAGAUACGGCCCAGACUCCUACGGGAGGCAGCAGUGGGGAAUAUUGCACAAUGGGCGCAAGCCUGAUGCAGCGACGCCGCGUGAGGGAUGGAGGCCUUCGGGUUGUAAACCUCUUUUAUCGGGGAGCAAGCGAGAGUGAGUUUACCCGUUGAAUAAGCACCGGCUAACUACGUGCCAGCAGCCGCGGUAAUACGUAGGGUGCAAGCGUUAUCCGGAAUUAUUGGGCGUAAAGGGCUCGUAGGCGGUUCGUCGCGUCCGGUGUGAAAGUCCAUCGCUUAACGGUGGAUCCGCGCCGGGUACGGGCGGGCUUGAGUGCGGUAGGGGAGACUGGAAUUCCCGGUGUAACGGUGGAAUGUGUAGAUAUC